rnacentral:lncRNA from 1 species
GAAAUGUGCUCAUGAUGCAAAGUACAUAACUCCCACUCACCUGCCGAUCCGGCACGGCCUCGAUACGCCUCCAAAUCUUUAUGGUAGGCAGUAGGAAACUUUUUCCUCUUGUUCCCUAGCUUCUUGCCCAACUGAUACAUGCAUUUAUAAUACAUUUAGUUUUGUAUCAAGGGCCAUAAUCUACGUGCCAAUCAUAAAUAUAUGAAGCUUUAAUUGAUUCAACUCCUUCCUUUUUUAAAUCCUUCCCUUUUCCCUUUUUCCCUAUCAAUUAAUCUUCUCCUUAUAUGUAUUAUGAUGCAAAAGCAUCACACACACACCUUAGGCCACUGUCAUAGGGUCAAGGUGCGAGAAAGAGUCAAAAUCCUCCUUCACUAAAAAUUUCACUGAAGCGUGAGUCGACCCCAACCUCAUGAGUCGACCCCGACCACAGAGCCGUAAAACUUCAUUUUCUGAACUCUCAGAGAGAGUCGACCCCUAAUCUGCCCCGAGUCGAUUCCAGUUGACCUCGAGUCAACUCCGGCACGUUUUGAAGCGACUCCCACCAUUUUCUCACUUUUUUUCAUCUCGGAUGAAUAGUAACCUAGACUGACAGUGAGUCACUUCAUCCCGGUUUGAUCUACUUUUCGAACUCCAAAUUUUAUGAAACUUUUACCUAACAUUCUACACUCAUAGAGAAUUCCAAAGAGGUAUCAUGCAUUACUAUCGGAGGCCAUUUGACCCCCGAAACAAUUCGCUAGUUGGGACUUCGACAUAGUUUUUCCGUAGUGCUGGAAAAAUUUGUCGAAAUCCGGUUCUUCCUCUUUUAACCACCUCUACAACCCUUAUCCGACCUCUCUAGACUACAUCCACCCUUUGUAUAGCCUAAUAUCAUCAAAAGCUAGAUAGGGAUGGAUAUUUACUUUUUUCUUUUGAAAAUCGAGGUCCUUGCAUAGAGGAGAAGGAGAUCUACACUUUUCCCUUCAACUGCCACCGCAACCGAAAUUCCCUUCCCUUCCUUUUUUCUCUUUCUCUUCCUCUUCUUUUCUUCCUUU